rnacentral:rRNA from 3 species
UUAAGCGACUAAGCGUACACGGUGGAUGCCCUGGCAGUCAGAGGCGAUGAAGGACGUGCUAAUCUGCGAUAAGCGUCGGUAAGGUGAUAUGAACCGUUAUAACCGGCGAUUUCCGAAUGGGGAAACCCAGUGUGUUUCGACACACUAUCAUUAACUGAAUCCAUAGGUUAAUGAGGCGAACCGGGGGAACUGAAACAUCUAAGUACCCCGAGGAAAAGAAAUCAACCGAGAUUCCCCCAGUAGCGGCGAGCGAACGGGGAGGAGCCCAGAGCCUGAAUCAGUGUGUGUGUUAGUGGAAGCGUCUGGAAAGGCGCGCGAUACAGGGUGACAGCCCCGUACACAAAAAUGCACAUAUUGUGAGCUCGAUGAGUAGGGCGGGACACGUGGUAUCCUGUCUGAAUAUGGGGGGACCAUCCUCCAAGGCUAAAUACUCCUGACUGACCGAUAGUGAACCAGUACCGUGAGGGAAAGGCGAAAAGAACCCCGGCGAGGGGAGUGAAAAAGAACCUGAAACCGUGUACGUACAAGCAGUGGGAGCCUCUUUAUGGGGUGACUGCGUACCUUUUGUAUAAUGGGUCAGCGACUUAUAUUCUGUAGCAAGGUUAACCGAAUAGGGGAGCCGAAGGGAAACCGAGUCUUAACUGGGCGUUAAGUUGCAGGGUAUAGACCCGAAACCCGGUGAUCUAGCCAUGGGCAGGUUGAAGGUUGGGUAACACUAACUGGAGGACCGAACCGACUAAUGUUGAAAAAUUAGCGGAUGACUUGUGGCUGGGGGGGAAAGGCCAAUCAAACCGGGAGAUAGCUGGUUCUCCCCGAAAGCUAUUUAGGUAGCGCCUCGUGAAUUCAUCUCCGGGGGUAGAGCACUGUUUCGGCAAGGGGGUCAUCCCGACUUACCAACCCGAUGCAAACUGCGAAUACCGGAGAAUGUUAUCACGGGAGACACACGGCGGGUGCUAACGUCCGUCGUGAAGAGGGAAACAACCCAGACCGCCAGCUAAGGUCCCAAAGUCAUGGUUAAGUGGGAAACGAUGUGGGAAGGCCCAGACAGCCAGGAUGUUGGCUUAGAAGCAGCCAUCAUUUAAAGAAAGCGUAAUAGCUCACUGGUCGAGUCGGCCUGCGCGGAAGAUGUAACGGGGCUAAACCAUGCACCGAAGCUGCGGCAGCGACACUAUGUGUUGUUGGGUAGGGGAGCGUUCUGUAAGCCUGUGAAGGUGGCCUGUGAGGGUUGCUGGAGGUAUCAGAAGUGCGAAUGCUGACAUAAGUAACGAUAAAGCGGGUGAAAAGCCCGCUCGCCGGAAGACCAAGGGUUCCUGUCCAACGUUAAUCGGGGCAGGGUGAGUCGACCCCUAAGGCGAGGCCGAAAGGCGUAGUCGAUGGGAAACAGGUUAAUAUUCCUGUACUUGGUGUUACUGCGAAGGGGGGACGGAGAAGGCUAUGUUGGCCGGGCGACGGUUGUCCCGGUUUAAGCGUGUAGGCUGGUUUUCCAGGCAAAUCCGGAAAACCAAGGCUGAGGCGUGAUGACGAGGCACUACGGUGCUGAAGCGACAAAUGCCCUGCUUCCAGGAAAAGCCUCUAAGCAUCAGGUAACAUCAAAUCGUACCCCAAACCGACACAGGUGGUCAGGUAGAGAAUACCAAGGCGCUUGAGAGAACUCGGGUGAAGGAACUAGGCAAAAUGGUGCCGUAACUUCGGGAGAAGGCACGCUGAUAUGUAGGUGAAGCGACUUGCUCGUGGAGCUGAAAUCAGUCGAAGAUACCAGCUGGCUGCAACUGUUUAUUAAAAACACAGCACUGUGCAAACACGAAAGUGGACGUAUACGGUGUGACGCCUGCCCGGUGCCGGAAGGUUAAUUGAUGGGGUUAGCGGUAACGCGAAGCUCUUGAUCGAAGCCCCGGUAAACGGCGGCCGUAACUAUAACGGUCCUAAGGUAGCGAAAUUCCUUGUCGGGUAAGUUCCGACCUGCACGAAUGGCGUAAUGAUGGCCAGGCUGUCUCCACCCGAGACUCAGUGAAAUUGAACUCGCUGUGAAGAUGCAGUGUACCCGCGGCAAGACGGAAAGACCCCGUGAACCUUUACUAUAGCUUGACACUGAACAUUGAGCCUUGAUGUGUAGGAUAGGUGGGAGGCUUUGAAGUGUGGACGCCAGUCUGCAUGGAGCCGACCUUGAAAUACCACCCUUUAAUGUUUGAUGUUCUAACGUUGGCCCGUAAUCCGGGUUGCGGACAGUGUCUGGUGGGUAGUUUGACUGGGGCGGUCUCCUCCUAAAGAGUAACGGAGGAGCACGAAGGUUGGCUAAUCCUGGUCGGACAUCAGGAGGUUAGUGCAAUGGCAUAAGCCAGCUUGACUGCGAGCGUGACGGCGCGAGCAGGUGCGAAAGCAGGUCAUAGUGAUCCGGUGGUUCUGAAUGGAAGGGCCAUCGCUCAACGGAUAAAAGGUACUCCGGGGAUAACAGGCUGAUACCGCCCAAGAGUUCAUAUCGACGGCGGUGUUUGGCACCUCGAUGUCGGCUCAUCACAUCCUGGGGCUGAAGUAGGUCCCAAGGGUAUGGCUGUUCGCCAUUUAAAGUGGUACGCGAGCUGGGUUUAGAACGUCGUGAGACAGUUCGGUCCCUAUCUGCCGUGGGCGCUGGAGAACUGAGGGGGGCUGCUCCUAGUACGAGAGGACCGGAGUGGACGCAUCACUGGUGUUCGGGUUGUCAUGCCAAUGGCACUGCCCGGUAGCUAAAUGCGGAAGAGAUAAGUGCUGAAAGCAUCUAAGCACGAAACUUGCCCCGAGAUGAGUUCUCCCUGAGACUUAGAGUCUCCUGAAGGAACGUUGAAGACGACGACGUUGAUAGGCCGGGUGUGUAAGCGCAGCGAUGCGUUGAGCUAACCGGUACUAAUGAACCGUGAGGCUUAACCUU